ACUCCUACGGGAGGCAGCAGUGGGGAAUAUUGCGCAAUGGGCGAAAGCCUGACGCAGCAACGCCGCGUGCGGGAUGACGGCCUUCGGGUUGUAAACCGCUUUCAGCUCCGACGAAGCUAACGUGACGGUAGGAGCAGAAGAAGCACCGGCCAACUACGUGCCAGCAGCCGCGGUAAUACGUAGGGUGCGAGCGUUGUCCGGAAUUAUUGGGCGUAAAGAGCUUGUAGGCGGUCUGUCGCGUCGGAAGUGAAAACUCAGGGCUUAACCCUGAGCCUGCUUCCGAUACGGGCAGACUAGAGGAAGGUAGGGGAGAACGGAACUCCUGGUGGAGCGGUGGAAUGCGCAGAUAUCAGGAAGAACACCGGUGGCGAAGGCGGUUCUCUGGACCUUUCCUGACGCUGAGAAGCGAAAGCGUGGGGAGCAAACAGGCUUAGAUACCCUGGUAGCGUCGUCU
rnacentral:rRNA from 1 species